rnacentral:rRNA from 1 species
UACGGGGGGGGGUAAGCGUUGUUCGGAAUUACUGGGCGUAAAGGGCUCGUAGGUGGCCAACUAAGUCAGACGUGAAAUCCCUCGGCUUAACCGGGGGAACUGCGUCUGAUACUGGAUGGCUUGAGUUUGGGGAGAGGGACGCGGAAUUCCAGGUGUAGCGGUGAAAUGCGUAGAUAUCUGGAGGAACACCGGUGGCGAAGGCGGCGUCCUGGACCAAAUAUUGACGCUGAGGAGCGAAAGCCAGGGGAGCAAACGGG